rfam:Oryza barthii chromosome 8, whole genome shotgun sequence.
AAUAAGUGCAGCCAUGAGUUUUCGCGUUCAACUUUGAUCGUCCAUCUUAUUUAAAUUUUUUUCAUAAUUAGCAUUUUUGUUGUUAUAAGAUGAUAAAACAUGAAUAGUACUUUACUUGUGACUUAUGUUUUUAAUUUUUUUUAAAAAAUUUUCAAAUAAGAUGAAUGGUUAAAGUUGAGCGCGGAAAACCAUGGCUGCAUUUAUU